GAUUAACGCUAGCGGCAGGCCUAACACAUGCAAGUCGAGGGGCAGCGCAUGAAGUAGCAAUACUUCUGGCGGCGACCGGCGCACGGGUGCGUAACGCGUAUACAAUCUGCCUUGCACUGGGGAAUAAACCGGAGAAAUUUGGCCUAAUACCCCAUAACACAAAGAUCGGCAUCGGUUUUUGUUGAAAGAUUUAUUGGUGCAAGAUGAGUAUGCGUUGUAUUAGUUUGUUGGUGAGGUAACGGCUCACCAAGACUACGAUACAUAGGGGGACUGAGAGGUUAACCCCCACACUGGUACUGAGACACGGACCAGACUCCUACGGGAGGCAGCAGUGAGGAAUAUUGGUCAAUGGACGAAAGUCUGAACCAGCCAUGCCGCGCGCAGGAUGACGGCUCUAUGAGUUGUAAACUGCUUUUGUACGAGGGUAAACAGCGGAACGUGUUCUGCUUUGAAAGUAUCGUACGAAUAAGGAUCGGCUAACUCCGUGCCAGCAGCCGCGGUAAAAC
rnacentral:rRNA from 1 species